rnacentral:rRNA from 1 species
CACGACUACGAGUUUGAUCAUGGCUCAGAACGAACGCUGGCGGCAGGCCUAACACAUGCAAGUCGAGCGCCCCGCAAGGGGAGCGGCGGACGGGUGAGUAACGCGUGGGAACGUGCCUCUUGCUACGGAAUAGCCUCGGGAAACUGGGAGUAAUACCGUAUGUGCCCUACGGGGGAAAGAUUUAUCGGCAAGAGAUCGGCCCGCGUUGGAUUAGGUAGUUGGUGGGGGUAAUGGCCUACCAAGCCGACGAUCCAUAGCUGGUUUGAGAGGAUGAUCAGCCACACUGGGACUGAGACACGGCCCAGACUCCUACGGGAGGCAGCAGUGGGGAAUCUUAGACAAUGGGCGCAAGCCUGAUCUAGCCAUGCCGCGUGAGCGAUGAAGGCCUUAGGGUUGUAAAGCUCUUUCAGUGGGGAAGAUAAUGACUGUACCCACAGAAGAAGCCCCGGCUAACUCCGUG